rnacentral:rRNA from 1 species
UGGCUCCCGACCUGGAAUGGUGGGAGCCCGAAACGCUCCGGCGCCGGAGGAUGAGGCUGCGGCCGAUUAGGUUGACGGUGGGGUAAUGGCCCACCGUGCCGAUAAUCGGUCUGGGUCAUGAGAGUGAGAACCCAGAGACGGAAUCUGAGACAAGAUUCCGGGCCCUACGGGGCGCAGCAGGCGCGAAACCUUUACACUGCACGCCAGUGCGAUAAGGGGACCCCAAGUGCGCAGGCAUAGUGCCUGCGCUUUUCUGGACUGUAGGGCGGUCCAGGAACAAGGGCUGGGCAAGACCGGUGCCAGCCGCCGCGGUAAUACCGGCAGCCCAAGUGAUGGCCGCUGUUAUUGGGCCUAAAGCGUCCGUAGCU